UGAACACACACUGGAACACGCGCGCACGCACACACACACACACACACACCUCUCUGACACAGACUCCCUACUUAGUGCGCUGGAGGGAGCACUGAGGCUCGCACUAUCAGCGCAGCUUCUCAAUGGGGGGACGCGGCCAAGAGCAGACAGAGCAGCCUUUCCACGGGAGCCUUCCGCCGCACGCGUGAGAAGGAGGCGACAAGUGGAGGAGGAGGAGGAGGAGGAGGGGGUAAAUUAGCUCCCUGUCACCACAGCGGAGGACUUCCACUGACGGAGACGCGGCGAGGGCUGGAGGAAGCAGCGGGCAGAGAGGAGAUCGGUGCGCGUGAAUGUGGCUGACGCGGCCGCGAUACGAUCGGCUCCUGGUCUCGGCGCGCGAGCAGUCGGUGACACGGACCCCCGGGUGCGCUGCCUUCGCUGAGUGUCCGCGCCGCUGAGGAUUUCCAAGGGAGGAGGGAUUAUUGGGGGAGAGGACCGAAUCUGAUCCCCUCCUUUGACGCGACUACGGGAAUUUUGGACUUCAAAGUAUGGAUGGAUUUAAAACAGAGAAGUGAGUCUUUGUGACUGGGCUCCUUUUACUACUGAACACACUGCUCAGACCCGGCCCUGCCAUGUCCUGGUUGUUGGCCUUGUGGAUUAGCCUCGGCUUCCUGCUGCUGUGCCAGGCCACGCUCUACCAGACCAUCCAGCAGCACCACGUGGCCCGGCCCGGGCGCACCGACAUCCUCACGCUGGAGGGAGGCACAUGUGAGGUGAUCGCCGCCCAUCGAUGCUGUAACAAGAACCGCAUCGAGGAGCGUUCCCAGACAGUCAAGUGCUCCUGUUUACCAGGAAAAGUGGCUGGGACGACUCGCAACAAGCCCUCCUGCGUGGACGCGUCUAUUGUAAUUGGAAAAUGGUGGUGCGAGAUGGAACCGUGUCUGGAGGGAGAAGAGUGUAAGACUCUGCCUGACAACUCUGGAUGGAUGUGCUCCUCUGGGAACAAAAUCAAGACCACAAGAGUGAGUCCACUGCACAUGCUCACAUCCAGAUCCGCAGUAUAUUGGAUAUAUACAAACACGCUGUACAGUCAGUGUGCAUUCAUACAUAGCAGCACUUUAUUUUAGCAGUAUAUGCCUCAAGUUUCAUAUUCAAUAUUACGAUACUACUAUUAUUAUUAAAUAUAAUUACAAUUAUAUUUGAAUACUUUAAUUAUAUGUUUUAACAAAGCCUCUCUGUCAACAACAGCACCUGCUUCAUUUUAAAUCUAUCUUCUCCCACUUGAACAAUCAACCACCGUAUUAAAGCCGUGGGUAAAAAAAGAAAAGAAAAGGGUGAGCGCGAAUCUCGCUGCGCAGAGAACGCUUCGCACAAGAAAGCCUUUGUGUAACAAAGCGACUCCGGUUGGACGCACGCGAGCGAUGGCGGCGGCCACGCGGCGGCAUAAACAAACAGGUGGGCUCCGCCUCGGGCCGCGCUCACGCUCCCAGAUAAAGUUACGCGCGCUCUGAAUGCAGCGCGCGGCGGCGACGGGGAGCGUUGACUCCUCCGGGGCCCGCGGUCCGGAGCCCGUCGGCCCCCGGUCCGGGUUAAUUACAGACCCAGCUCGCGAUCAGCAGCUCCCCCUCCCGCUGCGCGGCCGCAGCGACGCUACGCAGGCGGAGGCGAGUGGGAUGCUGGGGAAUAGACAGCGAAGGUUAGCGCGCUCGGGGUUUCCCAAGGUCGGCCUGCACAUUUACAUGCCAGCAGAUAGACAUAAAGUUCCCCCCGGGGGCCUCGACCACCACGGGCCUAAAAUUUUCAAAAGAAGUUGAUGGAAUGGGGUCUCGGCAGCCCGUCAAGGUAAGGCAGCACUUGGUUCACUGUAAAGAAUGCAUCUCCAAUUCUCACUUCAGCCCUUUGCAUCAUUUAAAAUAAAGUUAACUUCAUCAUAAUGGUCGCUUUUAUGUUACAAACAUGAAUGAAGACUGUAACUCUUCACGCUCAGCUGGAGACAGAGCAUUGACAGACAGGUUCUGGGUAAAAUGGCUUUAUGGUCCGAUCCGACCAGAACUGUAAGACAAGGGGAGCAAAGGUCAGGCCUGGAGCUGCUUUUCUACCCAAUACACACGUGUCCUUUUUUCUUGACCCUCUCUUUGCAGAACACCCAGCCAUACUCCCCUUUUUAGCUUCCGGAAGCAAAAUGCAGAGGAUGCGUCAACAGAAAUUGAGCUGCAUUCUUGCUUCUGUAAAGAUUCAUCCCAGGACCUAACAGAGAGCUGCCAUUGCAGGGCUGCAUGCCAGGCCCCCCCCCCCCCCCCCCUCAUCCACCCCUUCUCCUCCCGCCGAACGGACUAAAAACUAUUACAUCCACGGCUACUGACUGGAUUACCUGGGACCACAGGAAGGAUAUCCACCCAGAUAAAACAGCUUUGCUUGUGUGGUGCCAAGGAUUUGAAACCAGACUAAUCCCCUGUUUGAUCAAUGAGCCUCAUGUUGGUGACUCUCCUCUUCCACGCAGCUGUGGCCAGUUUCUGACCUGCUCUCUCUCUCCCCUCUGUUUCCUGCGGUCUGUCUCCCCCUCAGAAACUGAAACAGCCAAGGGGGGGGGGGGUAUUUAUAGGUUUUAAGACAAUGUUGUUAUUUGAAGACAUUCGCAGCACAUGCCACAAGGUAAAUGAACUGAGGCGCUUGCAGAAGCCUGAACGGUGGAUCUGGACAAAGCUUUUCCUCCUGUGUGGACGGACAUGAGCAGAAAGCGACUGGACGGAGACGAUGCAUCUGAAAAACACAGGAUUGUCAGUAACCACAGCAACGAGCGUCCGAUGAGGAGUCCCCCUCCUCCUCCAUGAUGGACAUCUGGAUUUUAUUUGUGGGCAUGCCCAGUGUACAUUCGAAACCACUCCCUUUUUCUUUCUUUGUAAGAUAAUUUGUGUAUAUAUACAUAUAUAAAUACAUUACGUAUAAGAUGACAGAUCCAAGAAGCUGUAAAAUAUAUUUAAGUCUCUAUCAGGAGCUCGAGCCUCAUGUCGGGAUGAUGAUCAAUAGGACUGCGUUGCAGUGUCUGCUUGCAGAAGUUACAGUGGAGUCAUAAGAGUACUGGUCACUUUGUCAUUCAACAAUGUUGUUGCCUAAGCCAGAAAAUGCUUGUAGUUUCUGUGAUGAUGAGGAAAACACUGUAUAGAACUGCCUCACAAACGAAAGCAGCGCUAACGACGAGCCCGAGCCUCCCACUCCCAUACAGUAGGGAUUUAGCGCCGCAGCGGGGACGCGGGGCCGCGGGGCCGCAAUCGGACAGUUAGUCUAUUACCGCUGCGGAGGACGCCAUGCAGAUCUGCCCCUCGCGCCGCCGAGAGAGAGAGGGAGGGAGGCCAUUCAUCCCAAAUGACAGUGAGAAAGUUUUAGUCACAAAGGAGAAACAUACAGCUAUUCCCCAGUAGAUGUAAGUACAUUACAAGACAGCCUUAUGAGAAAUAAAAAUGGUUUUCUAUACGGA